UACGAAGGGGGCGAGCGUUGUUCGGAUUUACUGGGCGUAAAGGGCGCGCAGGCGGCUAUCCAAGUCAGGCGUGAAAGCCCCGGGCUUAACCUGGAGGUGCGUCUGGGACUGGGUGGCUAGAGUUCGGGAGAGGAGAGUGGAAUUCCCAGUGUAGAGGUGAAAUUCGUAGAUAUUGGGAAGAACACCUAUGGCGAAGGCAGCUCGCUGGGACGUUACUGACGCUGAGACGCGAAAGCG
rnacentral:rRNA from 1 species